GCUCAGGCCCUGAGUUCAAGCCCCAGGACUGGCAAAAAGAAAAAAAAAAAAUAAAAACAAAACAAAACACAACUAUUUGGUAAUAUUAGCCUGAGGCCAUCUGCCUGUAUUGCUAAUUUUGUAUGAUCUACAAAUGAUGUUAUAAAUAUCCAAAUGGCCUUUGGUGGAGAAUAGGUUCCCCACCCCGCUAGACUAAAAAGCAAGGGAAACAUUUUACUUUCAUAACAAGUAAAUAUUAGAAGAAAAGGUAGAAGCAGAUGAGCCCGUGGCUCUUGUCUAAAUCCUGCCUACUCAAAUGGCAGACAUCUGAGGAUCGC